rnacentral:rRNA from 1 species
UGUUAGGGGGUUUCCGCCCCUUAGUGCUGCAGCUAACGCAUUAAGCACUCCGCCUGGGGAGUACGGUCGCAAGACUGAAACUCAAAGGAAUUGACGGGGGCCCGCACAAGCGGUGGAGCAUGUGGUUUAAUUCGAAGCAACGCGAAGAACCUUACCAGGUCUUGACAUCCCGCUGACCGCUCUAGAGAUAGAGUUUUCCCUUCGGGGACAGCGGUGACAGGUGGUGCAUGGUUGUCGUCAGCUCGUGUCGUGAGAUGUUGGGUUAAGUCCCGCAACGAGCGCAACCCUUGAUCUUAGUUGCCAGCAUUCAGUUGGGCACUCUAAGGUGACUGCCGGUGAUAAACCGGAGGAAGGUGGGGAUGACGUCAAAUCAUCAUGCCCCUUAUGACCUGGGCUACACACGUGCUACAAUGGACGGUACAGAGGGUCGCAACCCCGCGAGGGUGAGCAAAUCCCAUAAAACCGUUCUCAGUUCGGAUUGUAGGCUGCAACUCGCCUACAUGAAGCCGGAAUCGCUAGUAAUCGUGGAUCAGCAUGCCACGGUGAAUACGUUCCCGGGCCUUGUACACACCGCC